rnacentral:rRNA from 1 species
CUACGGGUCGCAGCAGUGGGGAAUAUUGCACAAUGGGCGCAAGCCUGAUGCAGCCAUGCCGCGUGUAUGAAGAAGGCCUUCGGGUUGUAAAGUACUUUCAGCGGGGAGGAAGGGAGUAAAGUUAAUACCUUUGCUCAUUGACGUUACCCGCAGAAGAAGCACCGGCUAACUCCGUGCCAGCAGCCGCGGUAAUACGGAGGGUGCAAGCGUUAAUCGGAAUUACUGGGCGUAAAGCGCACGCAGGCGGUUUGUUAAGUCAGAUGUGAAAUCCCCGGGCUCAACCUGGGAACUGCAUCUGAUACUGGCAAGCUAGAGUCUCGUAGAGGGGGGUAGAAGUCCAGGUGUAGCGGUGAAAUGCGUAGAGAUCUGGAGGAAUACCGGUGGCGAAGGCGGCCCCCUGGACGAAGACUGACGCUCAGGUGCGAAAGCGUGGGGAGCAAACAGGAUUAGAUACCCUAGUAGUC